rnacentral:rRNA from 1 species
UACGUAGGGUGCAAGCGUUAAUCGGAAUUACUGGGCGUAAAGCGUGCGCAGGCGGUUUUGUAAGUCUGUCGUGAAAUCCCCGGGCUCAACCUGGGAAUGGCGAUGGAGACUGCAAGGCUAGAAUCUGGCAGAGGGGGGGUAGAAUUCCACGUGUAGCAGUGAAAUGCGUAGAUAUGUGGAGGAACACCGAUGGCGAAGGCAGCCCCCCUGGGCUAAGAUUGACGCUCAUGCACGAAAAGCGUGGGGGAGCAAACAGG